UCCCUGGAGGACUAGUGGUUAGGCCACAGCGCUCUCACUGCUUCAGCCUGGGUUCAAUUCACGGCCAGAGAA
rnacentral:tRNA from 1 species